rnacentral:rRNA from 1 species
AACCAACAGGGAUUGCCUCAGUAACGGCGAGUGAAGCGGCAACAGCUCAAAUUUGAAAUCUGGCUCCUUUCAGGUGUCCGAGUUGUAAUUUGUAGAGGAUGCUUCGGCUUACGCCCCGGUCUAAGUUCCUUGGAACAGGACGUCACAGAGGGUGAGAAUCCCGUUUGUGGCCGGCGGCCUCUGCCAUGUGAAGCUCCUUCGACGAGUCGAGUUGUUUGAGAAUGCAGCUCUAAAUGGGAGGUAUAUUUCUUCUAAAGCUAAAUACCGGCCAGAGACCGAUAGCGCACAAGUAGAGUGAUCGAAAGAUGAAAAGCACUUUGGAAAGAGAGUUAAAAAGUACGUGAAAUUGUUGAAAGGGAAGCGCUUGCGACCAGACUUGCCCGCGGAUGCUCAGCCGGUCCUUCGGCCGGUGCACUCUUCCGCGGUCAGGCCAGCAUCAGUUCGGGCGGUCGGAUAAAGGCCUUGGGAAUGUGGCUCCUCUCGGGGAGUGUUAUAGCCCUUGGUGCAAUACGGCCCGCCUGGACUGAGGCCCGCGCUUCGGCUAGGAUGCUGGCGUAAUGGUCGUAAGCGGCCCGUCUUGAAACACGGACCAAGGAGUCUAACAUCUAUGCGAGUGUUUGGGUGUCAAACCCGUGCGCGAAAUGAAAGUGAACGGAGGUGGGAACCCUCGGGUGCACCAUCGACCGAUCCUGAUGUCUUCGGAUGGAUUUGAGUAAGAGCAUAGCUGUUGGGACCCGAAAGAUGGUGAACUAUGCCU